CCAAUGGUCGGUUCCCGGGUACUACUGGGCGUAAGCGCACGCAGGUGGUCUGUCAAGUCGGAUGUGAAAUCCCCGGGCUCAACCUGGGAACUGCAUUCGAAACUGGCAGGCUAGAGUCUUGUAGAGGGGGGUAGAAUUCCAGGUGUAGCGGUGAAAUGCGUAGAGAUCUGGAGGAAUACCGGUGGCGAAGGCGGCCCCCUGGACAAAGACUGACGCUCAGGUGCGAAAGCGUGGGGAGCAAACAGGAUUAGAUACCCUGGUAGUCCACGCCGUAAACGAUGUCGACUUGGAGGUUGUGCCCUUGAGGCCUUGCUUCCGGAGCUAACGCGUUAAGUCGACCGCCUGGGGAGUACGGCCGCAAGGUUAAAACUCAAAUGAAUUGACGGGGGCCCGCACAAGCGGUGGAGCAUGUGGUUUAAUUCGAUGCAACGCGAAGAACCUUACCUACUCUUGACAUCCAGAGAACUUUCCAGAGAUGCAUUGGUGCCUUCGGGAACUCUGAGACAGGUGCUGCAUGGCUGUCGUCAGCUCGUGUCGUGAAAUGUUGGGUUAAGUCCCGCAACGAGCGCAACCCUUAUCCUUUGUUGCCAGCAGUUAGGCCGGGCACUCUAAGGAGACUGCCAGUGAUAAACUGGAUGAAGGUGGGGAUGACUUCAAGUCAUCAUGGCCCUUACGGGUAGGGCUACACACGUGCUACAAUGGACCAUACAAAGAGCAGCCACCUCGCGAGGGCAAGCUGACCUCGUAAAGUGCGUCGUAGUCUGGAUUGCAGUCUGCAACUCGACUGCGCGAAGUGGAAUCGCUUCUAAUCAUAGAUCAGACUGCCCGGUGAUACUCCCCCCCGGGUCUAAAA
rnacentral:rRNA from 1 species